CUCAGGGUUUCACCCUGGGCUGACAUAUUCCGCCCUUUCAGGGCU
rnacentral:sRNA from 1 species